rnacentral:rRNA from 1 species
UACGUAGGGUGCGAGCGUUAAUCGGAAUUACUGGGCGUAAAGCGUGCGCAGGCGGUUCGUUGUGUCCGAUGUGAAAGCCCCGGGCUUAACCUGGGAAUGGCAUUGGAAACUGGCGAGCUUGAGUGCGGCAGAGGGGGGUGGAAUUCCGCGUGUAGCAGUGAAAUGCGUAGAGAUGCGGAGGAACACCGAUGGCGAAGGCAGCCCCCUGGGUCGACACUGACGCUCAGGCACGAAAGCUAGGGGAGCAAACAGG